rnacentral:lncRNA from 1 species
UAAGAGGGACAUCUGUAUUUCAGGCCAUAAAGUAACAACAACAGUCAAUGCUGGGAAUAACAGAGAAACCAGGACAGGGACGUGUUCAGGUGGAUUUGAGGCUCAUUAGCUUAGUUUCAGAUUGGUUUCCGGUCUCAGCACGUCUGCGACUCUUCAUCCUUCAGCUUCUUGUCACAUCAGACAUGUCGGACAACUCAACGCCCCCCCUCUGUGUGGAGCCUGAGGACUCUUCCUCCCCAGCUGGUGUUAACGUGUCCAUGGCCUUCAACGUGAGCAGAGUGUGCCUCCUGCUGCCGCUCUCCUCCUUCGUCCUGUUGCUAGGUUACAGACAGUGGCAGCAGCAGCGCUCCUUUGGCUCCAUGAGCCACGCUGACGUCCUGACCUGCCACAAUGCAGCGCUGCAGCUGGUCUGCAGUUUGGGAACCGCUGCUUACGUCUACGGGACCUACAGGGAGAUCCUGUGUUUGCAGGUUUCAGGGUGGUGGAUUUCAUGGAUGGUUCUUUGUGGAGAGAUCGCGUUCCAUCUCCUGACCUGUGUGGAGCGGUACCUGGCAGUGGUUCAUCCAGUGUUGUACCGAGCGCUGAAGAGCGAGCGAGGGGUCCGGAUCAGGAACGUCAGCAUCGUCUGUGCCUGGCUGCUGUGUGUGAUGUACAGCACUGCAGCUUCCUGCUUCAAAGCUGACUUCCACAUGCAGGUGCUCUGCGUCCUGGGCCUCUCCCUGCUGGUCGUCUCCUUCUGCAGCGUGUCGGUUCUGCGGGCUCUCCUUGGUCCGGGUCCUGGGGAGCGGGAGCGGGUCGACCCGGUGAAGCGCAGAGCCUUCGUCUCCGUCAUGGCCAUAACUGCAGUGCUGUGGCUGUGGUUUGUAGGACUCGUCGUUGGUUUCACAUUGAGCCUGUCAUUCCAGUGCAGCCAUCUCAGCCUGUUGCUCAGGGCCUCUGCCUACUGGUUUAUGAUGCCUGGCAGCUUGGUGCUGCCUGUACUUUAUCUGCACAGGACAGGGCAGAUACGCUGCAGCCGAAACAGGGGAGAGUGAAAUAGUAAAAGGUAAAGCAGAUGAGGAGACCAGACUUUAGCUUCGCGUUUAUGAUGUAGUACAACGCAAUACACUGUUUUAUGUCUCAUAUGAUCCUGUUUAUAAUUAUUGAGUCAAUGUUUUUUGUGUCUGUUCAUUUGACAAUUUAUCAAAUUGUUUUGCUUGUUUUCAUCACUUAUAGUGAAAUAGAGUUAUUAAAGUUUAAGUUUUGCUUCUCUCGCUCUCAGUUCCAA